CUUCUGAUCAGACUUCUCCAGAAUGUAGAUGGGUGUACCCGGGUCCCACUGGUUUUUGCCAAAUCUGAGCUGAUGACAGUGUUGAACAUCUUU